UCMUUAGUAUUAGAGGCACUGCCUGCCCAGUGACAAUUAGUUUAACGGCCGCGGUAUCCUGACCGUGCAAAGGUAGCAUAAUCAUUUGUUCCUUAAUUAGGGACUUGUAUGAAUGGCCCCACGAGGGUUUAACUGUCUCUUACUUCUAAUCAGUGAAAUUGACCUUCCCGUGAAGAGGCGGGAAUAUAAAAAUAAGACGAGAAGACCCUAUGGAGCUUAAAUUAACGUGUCCAACAAAACUUAAUAUUAACCCAACAGGAAUAAUUACAUUUUAACUGGGCAAUAAAUUUUGGUUGGGGUGACCUCGGAGUAUAAUCAAACCUCCGAGYAAUUUAACCAAGACUAACCCGUCAAGGUUAUAUAACUUAUUGAUCCAAUCAUAUUGAUCAACGAAACAAGUUACCCUAGGGAUAACAGCGCAAUCCUAUUUAAGAGUUCAUAUCGACAAUAGGGUUUACGACCUCGAUGUUGGAUCAGGACACCCAAAUGGUGCAGCAGCUAUUAANNNUUCGUU
rnacentral:rRNA from 1 species